GAUUGAACGCUGGCGGCAGGCUUAACACAUGCAAGUCGAGCGGGGGAAGGUAGCUUGCUACUGGACCUAGCGGCGGACGGGUGAGUAAUGCUUAGGAAUCUGCCUAUUAGUGGGGGACAACAUCUCGAAAGGGAUGCUAAUACCGCAUACGUCCUACGGGAGAAAGCAGGGGAUCUUCGGACCUUGCGCUAAUAGAUGAGCCUAAGUCGGAUUAGCUAGUUGGUGGGGUAAAGGCCUACCAAGGCGACGAUCUGUAGCGGGUCUGAGAGGAUGAUCCGCCACACUGGGACUGAGACACGGCCCAGACUCCUACGGGAGGCAGCAGUGGGGAAUAUUGGACAAUGGGGGGAACCCUGAUCCAGCCAUGCCGCGUGUGUGAAGAAGGCCUUAUGGUUGUAAAGCACUUUAAGCGAGGAGGAGGCUACUUUAGUUAAUACCUAGAGAUAGUGGACGUUACUCGCAGAAUAAGCACCGGCUAACUCUGUGCCAGCAGCCGCGGUAAUACAGAGGGUGCGAGCGUUAAUCGGAUUUACUGGGCGUAAAGCGUGCGUAGGCGGCUUAUUAAGUCGGAUGUGAAAUCCCCGAGCUUAACUUGGGAAUUGCAUUCGAUACUGGUGAACUAGAGUAUGGGAGAGGAUGGUAGAAUUCCAGGUGUAGCGGUGAAAUGCGUAGAGAUCUGGAGGAAUACCGAUGGCGAAGGCAGCCAUCUGGCCUAAUACUGACGCUGAGGUACGAAAGCAUGGGGAGCAAACAGGAUUAGAUACCCUGGUAGUCCAUGCCGUAAACGAUGUCUACUAGCCGUUGGGGCCUUUGAGGCUUUAGUGGCGCAGCUAACGCGAUAAGUAGACCGCCUGGGGAGUACGGUCGCAAGGUUAAAACUCAAAUGAAUUGACGGGGGCCCGCACAAGCGGUGGAGCAUGUGGUUUAAUUCGAUGCAACGCGAAGAACCUUACCUGGUCUUGACAUCCACAGAACUUUCCAGAGAUGGAUUGGUGCCUUCGGGAACUGUGAGACAGGUGCUGCAUGGCUGUCGUCAGCUCGUGUUGUGAAAUGUUGGGUUAAGUCCCGCAACGAGCGCAACCCUUAUCCUUUGUUGCCAGCGGUCCGGCCGGGAACCCAAAGGAGACUGCCAGUGAUAAACUGGAGGAAGGUGGGGAUGACGUCAAGUCAUCAUGGCCCUUACGACCAGGGCUACACACGUGCUACAAUGGCAUAUACAAAGAGAAGCGACCUCGCGAGAGCAAGCGGACCUCAUAAAGUAUGUCGUAGUCCGGAUUGGAGUCUGCAACUCGACUCCAUGAAGUCGGAAUCGCUAGUAAUCGUAGAUCAGAAUGCUACGGUGAAUACGUUCCCGGGCCUUGUACACACCGCCCGUCACACCAUGGGAGUGGGUUGCAAAAGAAGUAGGUAGCUUAACCUUCGGGAGGGCGCUUACCACUUUGUGAUUCAUGACUGGGGUGAAGUCGUAACAAGG
rnacentral:rRNA from 1 species